rnacentral:siRNA from 1 species
ACUGGUUGAUGCAGUGUGUAAUCC